AUUGAACGCUGGCGGCAGGCCUAACACAUGCAAGUCGAGCGGAGCGGCGGACGGGUGAGUAAUGUAUGGGGAUCUGCCCGAUAGAGGGGGAUAACGUCCGGAAACGGGCGCUAAUACCGCAUAAUAUCAGAUGAGCCUAGGUCGGAUUAGCUAGUUGGUGGGGUAAAGGCCUACCAAGGCGACGAUCCGUAACUGGUCUGAGAGGAUGAUAAGUCACACUGGAACUGAGACACGGUCCAGACUCCUACGGGGGGCAGCGGUGGGGAAUAUUGAACAAGGGGCGAAGGCCUGAUCCAGCCAGGCCGCGUGUGGGAAGAAGGUCUUCGGAUUGUAAAGCACUUUAAGUUGGGAGACGUUACCAACAGAGUAAGCACCGGCUAACUUCGUGCCAGCCGCCGCGGUAUAC
rnacentral:rRNA from 1 species